AGAGAGGAAGCUUGCUUCCUCAAUCGAGUGGCGAACGGGUGAGUAACGCGUGAGGAACCUGCCUCAAAGAGGGGGACAACAGUUGGAAACGACUGCUAAUACCGCAUAAUGUAUUCGGAAGGCAUCUUCUGGAUACCAAAGGAGAAAUCCGCUGAUGGAUGGGCUCACGUCUGAUUAGCUAGUUGGUGAGGUAACGGCCCACCAAGGCGACGAUUGGUAGCCGGACUGAGAGGUUGAACGGCCACAUUGGGACUGAGACACGGCCCAGACUCC
rnacentral:rRNA from 1 species